rnacentral:rRNA from 1 species
GAUGAACGCUAGCUACAGGCUUAACACAUGCAAGUCGAGGGGUAACGAGAGGAAAGCUUGCUUUCCUUGUCGACGACCGGCGCACGGGUGAGUAACGCGUAUCCAACCUGCCCCCAACUAGGGAAUAACCUUGCGAAAGUAAGACUAAUACCCUAUAAUUUCCUCAGAUGUCAUCUGACGAGGAAUAAAGAUUUAUCGGUUGUGGAUGGGGAUGCGUCUGAUUAGCUUGUUGGCGGGGUAACGGCCGACCAAGGCAACGAUCAGUAGGGGUUCUGAGAGGAAGGUCCCCCACAUUGGAACUGAGACACGGUCCGAACUCAUACGGGAGGCAGCAGUGAGGAAUAUUGGUCAAUGGGCGGAAGCCUGAACCAGCCAAGUAGCGUGCAGGAUGACGGCCCUAUGGGUUGUAAACUGCUUUUAUACAGGAAUAAAGUUAGCCACGUGUGGUUAUUUGUAGGUACUGUAUGAAUAAGGACCGGCUAAUUCCGUGCCAGCCGCCGCCGUAA